AACACCGAUAAGUUGAACGCAUAUGGCGCAUCGGACGUUUCAACCCGACCGAUGCACACAUCCUUGAGU
rnacentral:rRNA from 1 species